rnacentral:rRNA from 1 species
AGUGAACGCUGGCGGUAGGCCUAACACAUGCCAGUCGAACGGCAGCACAGUAAGAGCUUGCUCUUACGGGUGGCGAGUGGCGGACGGGUGAGGAAUACAUCGGAAUCUACUUUUUCGUGGGGGAUAACGUAGGGAAACUUACGCUAAUACCGCAUACGACCUACGGGUGAAAGCAGGGGAUCUUCGGACCUUGCGCGAUUGAAUGAGCCGAUGUCGAUUAGCUGGUUGGGGGGGUAAAGGCCCACCAAGGCGACGAUCCGUAGGUGGUCUGAGAGGAUGAUCAGCCACACUGGAACUGAGACACGGUCCAGACUCCUACGGGAGGCAGCAGUGGGGAAUAUUGGACAAUGGGCGCAAGCCUGAUCCAGCCAUACCGCGUGGGUGAAGAAGGCCUUCGGGUUGUAAAGCCCUUUUGUUGGGAAAGAAAAGCAGCAGGUUAAUACCCCGCUGUUCUGACGGUACCCAAAGAAUAAGCACCGGCUAACUUCGUG